rnacentral:lncRNA from 1 species
CUGGGUUUGUUGUUGGGUUUGUUGGGUCAUGGGCGAAUUGCGAUGGUUUCCUUCGCUGUGUGUGUGUCGAUGUGCGCGAUGGGUGAUGGUCCUGAUGGACCUCUCGUGCGCAGUUCCGCUCACGGUUGCGAUUGUUUGUAAUUUUUACUCCUUCCUCUUCGUGCAGCUUUUUUUGCGUUUGUAGGAGUUGUGUGUUUUUUGCGUUAUCGCUUCUGCAAUUGGGUUGCAAUGUCGAAACAUGUUUUAGAUAUUUUCUUAUACGUUUCGUUACCGUUGUAGAUACCAUUGGUUUAUUGUCUUCAAUUCAAACUUUGUUAUUUGUAGUUUGAUUUUAUGCUUUGUUAUUGUUUUAAUUUUACAGCAUUGGAUUUUGAUAGUCGGUUGCUUGUUGUAAACGUUUAAUGAUGGUAAUGGUGUUGUAUAUUAUCAACAUUUUUUUCUUUUUUCUUUUCCUCAUUUUCUUAUUUGUGAUAAAAGUAUAGUUACCCUCAACCAUGUAGUAUAGAAUAAUUAUUCAAUUGAAAUCAGCAUUAGCCAGUCUUGCUUUGCUUCAUGACUAACAUUUAAAACUAUGUUCUACAAUAAUGAAUAAAGAAAUGCAAUGCAAAAAAUGUAGCCAAAAAUCACAAUAACUUACUUUUAUUAAUAUUGCAACAAAAAAAUAAAGGAUACUGCAAUAGUACAUAUACACAUGUUUGAAAUAAUAUGAGAAGAAACAUCGUACACAUAAAUGUGAAAGAGAUAUAUAAACAAAAUAGUACUCGAUAAAAAAAAAAGGGGGGGGGCGGUUGUUGCCAAUAUAUAAUAUGUCCUUAUUAUUAUAUUUAUUUGUAAAGUCACUAAGAAAUGGUUCAAAAUAAGUUAGCUUGAAAAGUUGUACAAACUUUACUUAUUUUUGUUCAGCUGGACAUAUUAUAUAUUGUUUAUGUUAAAACUUUCAUACAAAACAUGCCUACUUUAACAUGUAUAUAUAUAUAUAUAUAUAUAUAUAUAUUUUAUGAUCAUGUCACGAUAUAUUAUUACAAUCUUAAGAUAAAUUCCUUCUACCCAAAUUUUACAAUAAGUUGUGAAAUUCAAAAUACUGAUACAAACUUAAUAAUAAUAUAUAUAUAUAUAUAUAUAUAUAUAUUCACACACACACACAAAGUCAACCCUCAUACUACAUGUAUAU